GAGAUAAGGAGAGAGAGUGUGUUGCAUAGAGUAAAACAAAAUGUGUUCCGAUGAUGUGAGAAAGAAGAAAUCUAGAAAGAGCAUAGACAGGUUGAGUAAUUUACUGGAUUCGCUUCUUCAUCACAUCUUCUCUUUUCUCGACACUAUACAAGCAGUCAAAACUUGUGUGCUGUCAAGAGAUGGAGGGAUUUUUGGGUUGCUCUUCCUCACCUCAAUUUUGACUAUCGAUCCUUUAAAAGAGAAAAGGAUUUUCAAAAAUUCGUUCGCAAAGUCUCGUCUAGCUGCCAUGAAAACCCCAAUUUUGGUGGCAAGUUUCGCUUCCGUAAGCCGUAUUGGACCGUGGAUGAAACCUUAAUUAAAAAGGUCAUAAGCUGCAUUGUGUCCUAUCGGUUUCAGCAUCUUCACAUAAAGGCAUGCAUAAACUUUCCAGACGCACUUCUCAGUAGUAAAUCAAUUGAAAUGCUUGAUUUGAACUUGUUUAAAAGUUUACCUCGUUCAUUUGCUUCUUUUGAAAUGCUGAAUUCAUUGCAUCUGAAAAUUUUUCAUUUUGCCGCCAUUGAUCAAACUGAUGAGUUGCUUGA
rnacentral:misc_RNA from 1 species